GAUACGCCCUCGGGCCAGGCUAGCUGCGAAGGGCAGCUGAAACGUUUGAGCUCACGUUUGGCCUGCAAGCAAAAGGUGUGAAUCAGAAGCAAAACGUGAGCCAAGAACAAUGAGCAUCAGUUUGGGAGAGGAAGAUAGAUACCCUCAUAUCCUGUUGCUUCUGCUUCUCUGGAGAACGCUGACUAAUACCGAACGGCCCCUCUGCGCUUCCAUCAUGGACGUAGGAAGAGCUCCCCAAGGUCUAGCUUCUGUAAGGGGCCUUGUGCAGAGCCCAGAGCACACACAGCCCGUGCUCACCGGAGAGGGCGGCGGGUCCAGCUGCGUUCCUGAAUGCUCGGACGCGUCCAGGUCUGCUGCCCCCACGGCCUCUGCCGCCUCCACAGACCGGCCCUGCGUCCCUCCCAGAUCCCUCCUGGCUUCCCUCAAAUCCUCACCUCCCCCUGCCCUUCCCCAUCCUUCGGCAGGACCACACUGCCCACGGCUGGUCAGCAGCCUCCCUCCCAUAGCUCCCUCCUGAUCAAGCCCUACCUGAUAGCCAUCUUUCUGGGAACUGAUAGGAAUUUUAAUGUUCCAAGCCUUCUGAUUCUUGCUUUUGGA